GGGUCGUUAGCUCAGUUGGUAGAGCGUCUGCCUUACAAGCAGAAUGUCGGCGGUUCGAUCCCGUCACGACCCACCA
rnacentral:tRNA from 2 species